rnacentral:rRNA from 1 species
UACGAAGGGUGCAAGCGUUACUCGGAAUUACUGGGCGUAAAGCGUGCGUAGGUGGUUCGUUAAGUCUGAUGUGAAAGCCCUGGGCUCAACCUGGGAAUGGCAUUGGAAAUUGGCGAUCUAGAGUGCGGUAGAGGGUAGUGGAAUUCCCGGUGUAGCAGUGAAAUGCGUAGAGAUCGGGAGGAACAUCUGUGGCGAAGGCGACUGCCUGGACCAGCACUGACACUGAGGCACGAAAGCGUGGGGAGCAAACAGG